UACGGGGGGGGGCAAGCGUUGUCCGGAAUUAUUGGGCGUAAAGAGCUCGUAGGCGGCUUGUCGCGUCGGCCGUGAAAACCUGCAGCUUAACUGUGGGCGUGCGGUCGAUACGGGCAUCACUGGAGUUCGGCAGGGGGAGACUGGAAUUCCUGGUGUAGCGGUGAAAUGCGUAGAGAUCGGGAGGAACAUCAGUGGCGAAGGCGGCCAUCUGGGACAACACUGACGCUGAGGCACGAAAGCGUGGGGAGCAAACAGG
rnacentral:rRNA from 1 species